rnacentral:lncRNA from 1 species
CGGAGGGAGGCCCUAAGGGACCUCCGGAGGGCUAACUGACCAGACCCUCAGAAGAUCGCUAAGAAAGGCACAAGAUGUCGUAGGCAUAAAAUGCUACAGGCACAUGCUGCCUCUCGCGUGAAGACAAGAAGAGUACAAGAUGUUGUAGGCAUAAGAUGCCAUAAGUACACCUGCCUCUCAUGAGGGCUAACUAGUUAGACUCUCAGAAUAACGUCGAGGAGGGCAUAAGAUGCUGUAGGCACAAGAUGCUGCAGGCACAUGCUGCCUCUCA